GGGAGGGUGGAUGUGCUCAGCUCCCUGAAGUGGGAGUCACACAUGGCAAUCCCCUGCCUGCACCCCACCACGUCUGGCUUCGGUGUCAGCCGCCAAGUUGGCAUCCCUGUUCCAUGCCUCAGCUGACACAGGGACAGCGAGGAUUUGCACCAUCUGGGCAUGGGGAAAGUGUGACCGAGGGACAAAUGUCACCUUUAUGCUGAUGGCACCAGACCCAAAGCACGCAGACAGCUCCUCCAGCAGCUCUGGAAUGGCUCUGGAGGGAGCUGCUUCUCAUGGCUCCUCCUGUCACCCUGGGGUGGGGGCAUCUGCACUCCUGAGACACAGCUAACCCAGCAAAGACAAGGAAAGACCGGUUAUAAAAUAAAAAGAGGCUUCCUAGA